CAGGCUGUGAUGAUUGGCGCAGGGGUACGGACCUCAGCUGAGUCAUGGGAGCUGAAUGUAUGUGUUUCUCCUCCAUCCUGCGUGUGGCAGGGUGGUGGCGAGCAUGUACAUGAGACAUGCCUCGAUCUGAGCCUG